CCUACGGGAGGCUGCAGUGGGGAAUAUUGGACAAUGGGCGAAAGCCUGAUCCAGCCAUGCCGCGUGUGUGAAGAAGGCCUUCGGGUUGUAAAGCACUUUCAGUGGGGAAGAAAGCCUUGGGGCUACUACCCUCGAGGAAGGACAUCACCCACAGAAGAAGCACCGGCUAACUCCGUGCCAGCAGCCGCGGUAAUCCGGAGGGUGCGAGCGUUAAUCGGAAUUACUGGGCGUAAAGCGCGCGUAGGCGGUCUGAUAAGCCGGUUGUGAAAGCCCCGGGCUCAACCUGGGAACGGCAUCCGGAACUGUCAGGCUAGAGUGCAGGAGAGGAAGGUAGAAUUCCCGGUGUAGCGGUGAAAUGCGUAGAGAUCGGGAGGAAUACCAGUGGCGAAGGCGGCCUUCUGGACUGACACUGACGCUGAGGUGCGAAAGCGUGGGUAGCAAACAGGAUUAGAUACCCGGGUAGUC
rnacentral:rRNA from 1 species